rnacentral:rRNA from 1 species
UCUAGCGGCGGACGGGUGAGUAACGCGUGGGAACGUGCCCUUCUCUACGGAAUAGCCCCGGGAAACUGGGAGUAAUACCGUAUACGCCCUUUGGGGGAAAGAUUUAUCGGAGAAGGAUCGGCCCGCGUUGGAUUAGGUAGUUGGUGGGGUAAUGGCCCACCAAGCCGACGAUCCAUAGCUGGUUUGAGAGGAUGAUCAGCCACACUGGGACUGAGACACGGCCCAGACUCCUACGGGAGGCAGCAGUGGGGAAUCUUAGACAAUGGGGGCAACCCUGAUCUAGCCAUGCCGCGUGAGUGAUGAAGGCCUUAGGGUUGUAAAGCUCUUUCAGCUGGGAAGAUAAUGACGGUACCAGCAGAAGAAGCCCCGGCUAACUCCGUGCCAGCAGCCGCGGUAAUACGGAGGGGGCUAGCGUUGUUCGGAAUUACUGGGCGUAAAGCGCACGUAGGCGGACUGGAAAGUCAGAGGUGAAAUCCCAGGGCUCAACCUUGGAACUGCCUUUGAAACUAUCAGUCUGGAGUUCGAGAGAGGUGAGUGGAAUUCCGAGUGUAGAGGUGAAAUUCGUAGAUAUUCGGAGGAACACCAGUGGCGAAGGCGGCUCACUGGCUCGAUACUGACGCUGAGGNGCGAAAGCGUGGGGAGCAAACAGGAUUA